CCUACGGGAGGCAGCAGUGGGGAAUAUUGCACAAUGGGGGAAACCCUGAUGCAGCGACGCAGCGUGAGUGAAGAAGGAUUUCGGUGUUUAAAGCUCUAUCAGCAGGGGAGAAAAUGACGGUACCUGACUAAGAAGCCCCGGCUAACUACGUGCCAGCAGCCGCGGUAAUACGUAGGGGGCAAGCGUUAUCCGGAUUUACUGGGUGUAAAGGGAGCGUAGUCGGCCUGACAAGUCAGAAGUGAAAGCUCAGGGCUCAACCAUGAGACUGCUUUUGAAACUGCCGGUCUGGAGUGCAGGAGAGGUAAGCGGAAUUCGUAGUGUAGCGGUGAAAUGCGUAGAUAUUAGGAGGAACUCCAGUGGCGAAGGCGGCUUACUGGACUGUAACUGACGUUGAGGCUCGAAAGCGUGGGGAGCAAACAGGAUUAGAUACCCCGGUAGUC
rnacentral:rRNA from 1 species